UACGGAGGAUGCAAGCGUUAUCCGGAUUCACUGGGUUUAAAGGGUGCGUAGGGGGGGAGGUAAGUCAGCGGUGAAAUCCCCGAGCUUAACUUGGGAACUGCCAUUGAUACUAUCUCUCUUGAAUACCUUGGAGGUGAGCGGAAUAUGUCAUGUAGCGGUGAAAUGCUUAGAUAUGACAUAGAACACCAAUUGCGAAGGCAGCUCACUACACGGUCAUUGACACUGAGGCACGAAAGCGUGGGGAUCAAACAGG
rnacentral:rRNA from 1 species